rnacentral:misc_RNA from 1 species
UUUUUUUUUUUUUUUUUUUGCAACUUUAACAAUCUAAGUAAAUAAAGCAUAAACAAAUCUUAACAUGUAGCCAUUUCCUCUUAUAUCUAUGACAUUUUUUUUUUCAGCAGAAGAAUUGAAAACAGUAAAAUUUUCUUGUGUUUUCAGCAGUAGAGGGAAAAGACCUUGGCAUUCAAUCUUCUAUUUUCCUAAGAUAUUAAUAUCUACAAUAGUUUAGUUUUAUUUUAUUUGGAUUGCAAAAAUAAUUUAUGUAUAUUUUUUUCUAUGCUUAUUAAUCCUUUGUAGAUUGGCAAUUUUGAUAAGUUUCGUUAAAUAUAGCUAUAUCUAAGAUUAUUUUAUUUUUGCUUUAUUUUAUUUUAUUUUAUGUGCCUCACUUCAUUAAAGCGGGUGCCUAGCCUGCUACUUGCACCUUUAAUUACUAUGGAUUAGACUUGAAAUGUUAAUGAACUGUAUAUUUAAAAAAUGUCUUGCCAAAUGUCAAAUCUUGUCAAACACUUACUUGAAUGAUCCAAGUCGGGCAGU